UAGGGAAUCUUCGGCAAUGGGGGGAACCCUGACCGAGCAACGCCGCGUGAGUGAAGAAGGUUUUCGGAUCGUAAAGCUCUGUUGUUAAGGAAGAACGAGUGUGAGAAUGGAAAGUUCAUACUGUGACGGUACUUAACCAGAAAGGGACGGCUAACUACGUGCCAGCAGCCGCGGUAAUACGUAGGUCCCGAGCGUUGUCCGGAUUUAUUGGGCGUAAAGCGAGCGCAGGCGGUUAGAAAAGUCUGAAGUGAAAGGCAGUGGCUCAACCAUUGUAGGCUUUGGAAACUGUUUAACUUGAGUGCAGAAGGGGAGAGUGGAAUUCCAUGUGUAGCGGUGAAAUGCGUAGAUAUAUGGAGGAACACCGGUGGCGAAAGCGGCUCUCUGGUCUGUAACUGACGCUGAUGUGCGAAAGCGUGGGGAUCAAACAGG
rnacentral:rRNA from 1 species